rnacentral:rRNA from 1 species
AGUGAACGCUGGCGGUAGGCCUAACACAUGCAAGUCGAACGGCAGCACAGUAAGAGCUUGCUCUUACGGGUGGCGAGUGGCGGACGGGUGAGGAAUACAUCGGAAUCUACUUUUUCGUGGGGGAUAACGUAGGGAAACUUACGCUAAUACCGCAUACGACCUACGGGUGAAAGCAGGGGAUCUUCGGACCUUGCGCGAUUGAAUGAGCCGAUGUCGGAUUAGCUAGUUGGCGGGGUAAAGGCCCACCAAGGCGACGAUCCGUAGCUGGUCUGAGAGGAUGAUCAGCCACACUGGAACUGAGACACGGUCCAGACUCCGACGGGAGGCAGCAGUGGGGAAUAUUGGACAAUGGGCGCAAGCCUGAUCCAGCCAUACCGCGUGGGUGAAGAAGGCCUUCGGGUUGUAAAGCCCUUUUGUUUGGAAAGAAAAGCAGCAGGUUAAUACCCCGCUGUUCUGACGGUACCCAAAGAAUAAGCACCGGCUAACUUCGUG